ACGGGAGGCAGCAGCUAAGAAUAUUCCGCAAUGGACGAAAGUCUGACGGAGCGACGCCGCGUGGAUGAUGAAGGUCGGAAGAUUGUAAAAUCCUUUUAUGACUGAGGAAUAAGCAGUGUGAGAGAAACGCAUUGUGGUGACUGUAGGUCAUGAAUAAGCAAAGGCUAAUUACGUGCCAGCAGCCGCGGUAAGACGUAAGUUGCGAGCGGUGUUCGGAAUUAUUGGGCGUAAAGGGCAUGUAGGCGGUUUUGCAAGCUUGGUGUGAAAUCUCGGAGCUCAACUCCGAAAUUGCGUUGAGAACUGCAUAACUAGAGUCACUUAGGGGCAAUCAGAAUUCCAGGUGUAGGGGUGAAAUCUGUAGAUAUCUGGAAGAAUACCAAUGGCGAAGGCAGGUUACCAGCAGAUAACUGACGCUGAGGUGCGAAGGUGCGGGGAGCAAACAGGAUUAGAUACCCUGGUA
rnacentral:rRNA from 1 species